rnacentral:misc_RNA from 1 species
GUUUGCAUAUGUAAGCCCAUGCUUUCAUAAACAUGAUCACACUUUUGCCGUCAAAGAUAGCAUGGUGGGAAGAGAUACCAAUGGAAAAGCCUUGAUAUGGAAAUAGUGUUAUUUGGAAGGCUAUAGUUGCCGCUGUUGAAUCCGAUACAGGCAACUCUUGAAUAUAAAGUUUUGACUCCAUAACUUCACGCACUUGGCUGCCAGAAACAAGAGUGAAGUCCGCAUUAGACUCGGCAACUGUGACCAAAACACCGUCGUUUGGGUAGUAGCAGAUGGCUGGCUUGGCGGCGUGCGGGAGCCACGAGAUGUUUCCAGCGAGAGGGAGAAAGUGGAGGAGUGUAAGGGAGAGAGAGGCUUUAAGUUUAGCGACGAUCACUGAGUGGAAAAACGUGUGGGUUGAAUCAGUGAGCUCAUAGAAAAAGAUACGCUCAGUUGGGUGUUGUUUGAGCCAAAAGAUGUCGAAGUGGGUGAGAGGGAGAUAUAACUCAGUAGCAGACUCAGGUGCGUCAGAAGGAGUGAUUCGGCAUUUCUCUAGUAUCUUGACUGGGUCGGUUGCUGCCAUGACAAUCGGAU